rnacentral:rRNA from 1 species
GGACUACUGGGGUAUCUAAUCCGGAUCGCUCCCCACGCUUUCGCGCAUCAGCGUCAGCAAAGCUCCAGGUAACCGCCUUCGCCACUGGUGUUCCUCCCGAUAUCUACGCAUUCCACCACUACACCGGGAAUUCCAUUACCCCCUAGCUUGCUCAAGCCGUGCCGUAUCACAUGACCCCGCCCAGUUGAGCCAGGCGAUUUCACAUGUGACGUGCACAGCCGCCUACGCGCCCUUUACGCCCAAUAAAUCCGGGCAACGCUUGCACCCUACGUAUUACCGCGGCUGCUGGCAC